CUGUCUUUGAGUCAGUAAAACAGAAGACCUGAGUGGGAGGGCUCUUGCUUCAGGUUAUACAGCUGGUUCACAGCCAAGAGUUCUGACUCGCACAGAAGUGUUUUCUGGAGUUAGAGAGGCAGUGGGCAACAGAGCAGAGGCCCCAGGUGGAAAUUACCACCCACCAGGUCUCCAGAGUUCCAGACCUUUUGCUCAACCAGGACCAGGUUGCUCUCACAGCCCACCACUCACCCAACAGGUUCCCUUCCUUUUCCACUUGACCCCAGAGGAUCGAGACAGGCACCUCUGAUGAGGAUUGACAGGAGGCCAGAGUGAAGAAAGCCUGUGGCAGGCACCACAUCCUCCUAACUCAUGUCAGCUCUGGACCAGCAACUGAAGGAUCACCAUCCUUAGAGGCAGCCAAGCAGAGACCCACCAGUCACUGUGUAUAUAACUCCAGUGUUCAGAGGGGACUAGAUGUCCCUGGUGGCCUGUAUCAUGUGGCCCACUCACUCACUCAUGGAGUUAAAUAGUCACUGGGCGUCUACAACACAGCCAGCACCAAGAGAUUCUAGGACACAGUGAGGAUGCACACCAUCCUGGUCCUCAGGUAGUUAGCAGCGAAGCAGGUGUCCUUGGUGCAACUACCCCGCUCGGACCUCAUGGUCCGAGGAUGCUCAGCUCAGAUGUGUCAUUAAAUCUGCCCCUCAAGAAGUGUGUGUUAUGGAUUUACAGAAGAGUAAACUGAGGCACGCUGAAUGCAUGGCCCUGUCCCCAGGAUGUCACAGAAAAGCCAGGAGUUGCCAUCUAUCUGUUACAGGAUCUUAAGGCUAUGUCUAUGACUCCAGGAGACACAGGGUCUCUGGAAGACCUCUCUCUCUUGGAACUCUGUGAACAGUUUUGCCAGCUAGGGACCAUCCCGAUGCUCGAAACUUCACUCACAGGCAGUCAGAAGCCCUCCGAGGAGCUGAGCCACAGCCUUCCCUCCUUAAUGAAUUCUCGGCUAAAUUAAAGUCAUACUUCAUUUUAAAUUAAGGGUAUUUUUUUUAAAAAAAAUAAAAUAUCUGCAACGUUUAAAUAUCA